GUGAGGAAUUUUCCGCAAUGGGCGAAAGCCUGACGGAGCAAUGCCGCGUGAAGGAAGAAGGCCUUCGGGUUGUAAACUGCUUUUGUACGGAACGAAACGGUCCGGGUUAAUACCCUGGGCUAAUGACGGUACCGUAAGAAUAAGCACCGGCUAACUACGUGCCAGCAGCCGCGGUAAUACGUAGGGUGCAAGCGUUAAUCGGAAUUACUGGGCGUAAAGCGUGCGCAGGCGGUUUUGUAAGACAGGCGUGAAAUCCCCGGGCUCAACCGGGGAAUUGCGCUUGUGACUGCAAGGCUGGAGUGCGGCAGAGGGGGAUGGAAUUCCGCGUGUAGCAGUGAAAUGCGUAGAUAUGCGGAGGAACACCGAUGGCGAAGGCAAUCCCCUGGGCCUGCACUGACGCUCAUGCACGAAAGCGUGGGGAGCAAACAGGAUUAGAUACCCCAGUAGUCC
rnacentral:rRNA from 1 species